rnacentral:misc_RNA from 1 species
AUGCAGCACAAAGAAGCAAGAAGCCGAUAGAAGAAUCAGUGGAGAAACGAAGCAACAGCAGAAGCAGAAGUUUGGUUCUUUUCAUCAAUUCCAAGGCUUAGUAUGAGCACAGCUGAAAAGAGGCAAUCUAAUGGAGAAGCUGAAGAAGAUGACGAUGAUGAUGAUGGAGAUGGUCAUGGACUUGAUGCGUGGGAGAGGACUUACACUGAUGAGAGAUCAUGGGAAGCUCUUCAAGAGGAUGAAUCAGGACUGCUUCGUCCUAUAGACAAUAAGAUCAUACACCAUGCUCAGUAUCGCCGCCGCCUUCGUUCCCUUUCUACCACUGCUGCUCGCAUUCAGAAGGGCCUCAUUCGCUUUCUUUACAUUGUUGUCGAUCUCUCCAGGGUAUUUUUCGUUCUUUUAAAUCUUUCUUUUUUUGAGACUCUCUUGAAUUUAAGAAUUUAAUUCACUUUCUGGGUACCACCCCAUGCUUGAUUCUAAUCUAUCUUGUGUGAUUGGAGAGAAAGAAAGAGAUUUAGGACUGGUAGAAUUUGUAUUUGACAGCCAGAAAUCGUGAUAUAUCUUGGGUAUGACGCAAUGGCCAAUAGGGACAUGGAUAAUUUGUCAUGUCUAUGUGAUUGAAGACUAGGGUUUACCUUUCUUUCAUUACGCCCAUCAUGACUUUUUUAAACAACUUUCUGAGUUCCUUAACUCUGCAAAAAUCUCUUAAUAUGAAAUGAUUGGAAGUUUCAGCAAAAUGUAUGUAGUUUUCUGCAGAGAAAUGGUACUAAUUUUUGCGAUAUAUAAGUGAUUCCACACAUAAGCAUGAGGCUUAUUUUCAAGUAAGUUGUGACUUGAGAAAUGCUGAAGCAUGAAAGUCAUGUCCAACAUAAAAGAUAAGUGUGAGAGCACUGGAAAGGUUGGUUGUGAGAGGGAACUAUCUUCAAUUUCUAUUAAAAGUAAUAAAUUCAGAGGGAGGUUCAAAAUUUAUGGCAACUUCUGUAAUUGAGCAUUGUUUCCUCUUUUUUCUUCAUUAUUUUCAUCGGUGAAUGCAGGCAGCAUCAGAGAUGGAUUUUCGACCAAGUCGAAUGGUUGUGAUUGUAAAACAUGUUGAGGCUUUUGUUAGGGAAUUUUUUGAUCGGAAUCCACUUAGCCAGAUUGGUUUGGUGACUAUAAAAGAUGGGGUUGCCCAUUCCUUAACAGAGCUUGGUGGGAGUCCAGAGUCCCACAUUAAGGCUUUGAUGGGGAAGAUGGAAUGCUCAGGCGAUUCAUCACUACAGAAUGCCCUCAAUCUUGUCCAGGGAUAUCUUGAUCAAAUUCCAUCAUAUGGUCAUCGUGAAGUUCUGAUCUUAUGUUCAGCUCUCAGCACCUGUGAUCCAGGAGAUAUAAUGGAGACCAUAAAGCAAUGCAAGAAAUCUAAAAUUAGGUGCUCGGUUAUUGGUCUUUCUGCAGAAAUGUUUAUAUGCAAGCAUCUCUGUCAAGAAACUGGUGGAAUAUACUCCGUUGCAAUGGAUGAGGUCCACUUUAAAGAGUUAAUGUUAGAGCAUGCACCGCCACCCCCAGCAAUAGCAGAAUUUGCAAUUGCUAAUUUAAUCAAGAUGGGUUUCCCACAAAGGGUGGCAGAGGGCUCUAUCUCAAUUUGUUCUUGUCAUAAAGAAGCUAAAGUUGGUGAUGGAUACAUUUGUCCGAGAUGCAAGGCGCGUGUAUGUGAGCUUCCUACUGAAUGCCGUAUUUGUGGAUUGACACUCGUUUCUUCACCUCAUUUGGCAAGGUCAUAUCAUCAUCUCUUUCCCAUUGUGCCAUUUGAUGAGGUGUCUCCAAGGCAAAAUGUACUACAUCACAGACCACCGAAAACUUGUUUUGGCUGCCAACAGAGCCUCCUCAACCCUGGCAACAAGCCCAGCCUUUGUGUUGCUUGUCCAAAAUGCAAACAAUACUUCUGCAUUGAUUGUGACAUUUAUAUACAUGAGAGCUUGCAUAACUGCCCAGGCUGUGACAGCAUUAGACAUUCAUAGCCAGUCACCACUAAUGAAGAAUGAGGAAUAUUGCUGCAGAUUGUUAUGUUUUCCUGCUGCCAUACGGCUAUGAUAUUCUCCUAGUAAUGAACCUUAAAGCAAAGUCUCAGAGCAAGUUCAGACAAUGGAAAGAGCAGCUUAUUCAACAUUCCCAAGUUUUCCCAUUUUUUCUCUUAAAUAUGAUAGUAUGGAUCAAGUGAAAAUUCAGUUCCAAUAUUUAUGAUUGCUUUGCUGCAUUCCCUAAUUUCAUAUUGACCAGGAUCUAAUUCUUUGAAUAUUAGUAGCUACAAACAUCAGAAUGGAGACUCUUUGGGUAGCGUUAAUUUUGAAAUUUAUAUUAUUAUUGUUGUAUGAAUUUGAAAAAAU